rnacentral:rRNA from 1 species
AUUGAACGCUGGCGGCAGGCCUAACACAUGCAAGUCGAGCGAGCGGCGGACGGGUGAGUAAUUUGUGGGGGCUGCCCGAUAGAGGGGGAUAACUUCUGUAAACGUUGGCUAAUACCGCAUAAUAUCGGCGAACCCAUAUGGGAUUAGCUAGUGGGUGGGGUAAAGGCUCACCUAGGCGACGAGCUCUCGCUGGUCUGAGAUGAUGAUCAGCAGCACUGGGACUGAGAGCAGGCCCAGUGUCCGCCGGAGACAGCAGUGGGGAAUAUUGCACAAGGGGCGAAAGCCUGAUGCAGCCAUGCCGCGUGUAUGAAGAAGGCCUUAGGGUUGUAAAGUACUUUCAGCGGGGAGGCGUUACCCGCAGAAUAAGCACCGGCUAACUCCGUGCCAGCAGCCGCGGUAAUUC